CCAGGCCCCGCGUUACCCGGGCAACCGGCCGGGUAACCACUCGCGCCCCCUCCCUGCCCCUUCCCACGCGCGCCUCCUGGGGGUGCCCCCUUCCCAAGCCCUGGGCCCCUCCCGCCAACGGUCACCGGGGUGUCCUGGCAGAGGCGGGGGGCUGGGGGAGACGGAGAGGGGUCUGCGAGGAGACAGGACCUGUGAGACAGGCGGGACCCGCUCCACCACCCACUGUCACCUCUCAGGGCCUUAAGGAUGUGCAGGUAUUCGGCUGGGGUCUGAGCAGCAGGCAGUGUGUGAGUCGGGGAGAGCAGCAUUUUUGUGUGGUAACUGUUGGGGUUUCUGACCCUGGCCUCUUCAAACCUCCAGUGGCUAUUCUGGGACUGCCCAGAUUGGGUAUUCCGGGGAGACCUGGGAGUCCUGGAACCUGCUCUCCAGUCACUGGAGCCUCAGCCCCACCCUGAAUCAGGCUUGCAGCCACUGGUGCUGCCUCUGGUGAGGGAGGAGCCAGCGCCCCAGAGCCACACAGGGCAGGGCAAGGCUGGGACUGAUACUAGACCCGCAAGAAACUCCUUGGGGGUGGGGCAGAAGGCUUGGGGAGAGCAAUUCAUCCAAACCAGAGUCAGAGACAGGUUUUUAUUUAAAAUUUAUUGUAAUGGGGUCCGCGCAAAAGGAGGGGGUGAAGGGUGGGGAACAUGCAGGGGACACAGGAACACGAUGACAUGGCCAGGGCCACAGCUUCUGUCGUGGGGGAGAGGGAUGAAAAGAAAAGGCCAGGGCUGGAGCUGGGGUGGCAGAGGGACGGGGGAGACACUGUGACUGCAUUCCCCCCACCCCCAGGAAGCACCUCUAGUCCCUGGAUCCCCCCAUUUACCCUGGCACCCUAAAAUUCCAUCUCUUGUCCUGCCUCUGGCCCUAGUGGCUCCUUCUUUUGCUCCCCUUGACUUGUUUUCCCCUGACAGAUUCUCAAUUAGGACGAUGUUUAGGGGCUGACCCCAAACAACCUCACCUUAUGAAGGUACUACUGUUGCCUUCCCUGCUUCUGCCCCUUCUCCAAUCUCACCUUUUCCCCUCUCUGGGACAGAAUCUCUGAUUCCCCUCCUUCCUCUCCUCCCUCCCCCUGGAAAAAAAAAAAAAAAAAAA